GGAGCGGUAGUUCAGUUGGUUAGAAUACCGGCCUGUCACNGCCGGGGGUCGCGGGUUCGAGUCCCGUCCGCUCCGCCA
rnacentral:tRNA from 1 species